GCGGAGGGGAGAGGAGAGGAGGGUGGAGAAGAGAGAAGAAAAUAACACCUGUGACCAGACUUAGCUGUGGACCUUGGAGAAAGUCAGCUGAAAGCAAGAAAUGGAAUGAGGUGAGGGUUGCUGGCGCGCAGUGGGCUCCAAUUAUAACCUAAUAGCAAACGAAGCUGAUUGGGCGGGCGUUUCAGACUUCAGAUGAAAGGACAGCCUUCUUGCCUCGCUCUAGUCAGGGCAGUCCGAGAAGCCCGAAUUCUCUUGGGAGGAAGAAGUAGAAAGGAAAGCGCUCAUUCAUUCCUCAGGCUCAACGGCUGCCCCCUAGUGGACAAACGGUGGACUCACACUCAGCCCGCCGCUGUGGCCGGCCCAGGCAUUCUGGGUCUGGGGAAAACUUCACCGGCCCAUGGGAGCCUGAAUAUAAGGAAUAUUUCAGCCAGUGUGAAUUGAGGUGGGUUUUUUUUUCCCCUGAAGUAUAGUUGACAUAUAACAUUAUAUUAGUUUCUUUGUACAAAGGAAUGAUUCCGUAUUUGGAUAUACUGUGAAAUGAUCACCACAAUAAGUUUCCUUAAUGUGCAUCACCAUGUGUGGUUACAAAAAAAUGUUUUUUUCUGGUGAUAAGAACGUUUAAAAUUACUCUUCUAACUCAUAUUAAUACAGUGUUAUUAACUAUAGUCACCAUGCUGUGCAUUAUAUCCCCAUGAC
rnacentral:lncRNA from 1 species